rnacentral:misc_RNA from 1 species
GAAAUGCGAUAAGUAAUGUGAAUUGCAGAAUUCAGUGAAUCAUCGAAUCUUUGAACGCACAUUGCGCCCGCCAGUAUUCUGGCGGGCAUGCCUGUUCGAGCGUCAUUACAACCCUCAGGCCCCCGGGCCUGGCGUUGGGGAUCGGCGGAAGCCCCCUGCGGGCACAACGCCGUCCCCCAAAUACAGUGGCGGUCCCGCCGCAGCUGCCAUUGCGUAGUAGCUAACACCUCGCAACUGGAGAGCGGCGCGGCCACGCCGUAAAACACCCAACUUCUGAAUGUUGACCUCGAAUCAGGUAGGAAUACCCGCUGAACUUAAGC